rnacentral:rRNA from 1 species
UACGUAGGGUGCAAGCGUUAAUCGGAAUUACUGGGCGUAAAGCGUGCGCAGGCGGUUAUGUAAGACAGAUGUGAAAUCCCCGGGCUCAACCUUGGAACUGCAUUUGUGACUGCAUAGCUAGAGUACGGUAGAGGGGGAUGGAAUUCCGCGUGUAGCAGUGAAAUGCGUAGAUAUGCGGAGGAACACCGAUGGCGAAGGCAAUCCCCUGGACCUGUACUGACGCUCAUGCACGAAAGCGUGGGGAGCAAACAGG